AGGAACCCGGGUGGUGUCAGACUAUGCAGUUAUGGACGUGUAAUCACUUACAAAGGGGACAGGGGGGAAUCUGGGCUUAGGCUGCAGUUAGGAAACCAGGGACCCUCGAUGUGUAACUGGUGAAUGGGAUUAAUUCGGCAACGCGGGACUGGACUGACAUUGUGUCUGCUUUUUCCAGCACAGGCUUGUUGGCCUCCGCUGCCUUUUCACACAAGACGCAGGGGAGCUACAGGGCCUGCGGAUGGCCUGCCAGUUUCACCUGGACAGGAGGGAUGCGACCCGUGUCCUGCUGAGCCAGCACUGCCACACCUGCCCUUCGGACAGACCCGCCCCCUCCAGGUAAAGUAACCGCGCACAGAAACGCCCGCGUGCAUUGCAAAGGCAGUGGCUAGGUUCAUGAUGACACAGGACCUUGUCUGAACUUCAUGAUCUCAAAACAUGAGCUUGGAUGUGUCACUGAAAUCUAGUCAUGCGCCUCACACACACCUAGAACACCUGGUCAACAGGAAGUGUUGGCUUGACAUGACAACGUAGCAUACUUUCCAUGGCAGUUAACACACG